rnacentral:rRNA from 1 species
GACGAACCGUCCUAACGUUGUUCGGAAUCACUGGGCUUAAAGGGCGCGUAGGCGGCUCAUCAAGUCCGGGGUGAAAGCCUCCAGCUUAACUGGAGAAGUGCCUCGGAUACUGGUGGGCUUGAGGGAGGUAGGGGCAACUGGAACUUCCGGUGGAGCGGUGAAAUGCGUUGAUAUCGGAAGGAACGCCGGUGGCGAAAGCGAGUUGCUGGAUCUCUUCUGACGCUGAGGCGCGAAAGCUAGGGGAGCAAACGGGAUUAGAUACCCCGGUAGUCCUAGCCCUAAACGAUGGGUACUAGAUUGUGGGCUUAGCAUGGGUUCACAGUCGAAGCAAAAGUGUUAAGUACCCCGCCUGGGGAGUAUGGUCGCAAGGCUGAA